AAAACAAUGCAAACCCAAUAAACAAAACCGAAGCCCAUAUAUCCCAAGACAGCAAAACCCAAUUUGAUUAAAAUUUUUAUUAUAUUUUAAUAUUUUGUAAAAGAAAUUAAAAGGAAAAGACAUACUUGGAAUAGACCAAAAAAAUGACCAACGUUUACUCGAGAAAAAAAAAAUCGAUGGCUGGUACAACAAAUCGAGAAAAUUGUCGAUUUCUCUCCGAGCCAAUUCAAGAUGGAUUCAGAUGAUCAAUUUUUAUUUUAUUUUCCGAUCAUGUAAUCGAAUCUACAAGAUGGCCGGUGAACAUGCUCCGAUUUGAAACAUGUUUCUUCUAAAUCCCUAGGUGAUUACUGCCACGGAUAUACAUAUUAACUCACGUACCGGCACUAAUGGCUUAUCUCCCAAGAGCAGACAAAGGAUCCUCAAUUGAAACACGCCAUGCAAACUUGCAAGGUAAAACAUCUCUAUAAGGAAAUCUUGCCAAAAAGAUAUACUAUUAACGAUUGACGAAAAUUAAGGAAAAUCCAAACUCAAGAUUUGCGGACUACCACAUAUAGUUUUUUUAGGAAAGUCUCAAUUAAUUGGGAAGUUGCAAAAGUGGAAAACGAUAAUAUUUCCCCGAGAUUCUUGCAAUUAUUUUUGGGAAGUCUCAUUUUAUGGAUCCGUAA